UACGUAGGGUGCAAGCGUUGUUCGGAAUUACUGGGCGUAAAGGGCUCGUAGGCGGCCAACUAAGUCGGAUGUGAAAUCCCCAGGCUCAACCUGGGAACUGCAUCCGAUACUGGAUGGCUUGAAUUCGGGAGAGGGAUGCAGAAUUCCAGGUGUAGCGGUGAAAUGCGUAGAUAUCUGGAGGAACACCGGUGGCGAAGGCGGCAUCCUGGACCAACACUGACGCUGAGGAGCGAAAGCCAGGGGAGCAAACGGG
rnacentral:rRNA from 1 species